AGACAUAUGAUAAUUCAUACAGGACAAAAACAAUUUGACUGUUCUGAAUGUGGUCAAAGAUUUGGACUAAAGAGCAACCUGAACAGACACAUGGUAAUUCAUACAACUUCUACCAGUGCUACAGGCAGACAUCUCUCCUGUGUCAGAGCUCAGCUGGAUAACCCACCAGAUCAAAGUACUGAUCCUGGACCUCAGCAACAACAGCCUCAAAGGUCCUAAAGAAAUUAGCCAAACUCCGGCACCGUAAAUUGGUCCACUGAGGAGAAGAAAAAGAUCUUACCCUGCUUCACUUACUCAAGAUACAAGAAGUGGGGCAGGGAAAAUAAGGCAGUUUUUCAAGAAAGGACCAAAGAAGUGGAUCUACAGCAGAGACGAAAGAAGACGCCACAACUGCAAAACUACAACCAAUUGCCUCCUAAAUCCCAAAACAUGUAACAGCAGAAAAAAUUUAAAGUAUAAAGGAAGAAGCCCAAGAAAAUCCAGUGAAUGAUCACCAGUCGUUAGAGGAAGGGAAACAGGUAGAGUAUGAAAGGAGUCAGUGGAGGAGGGAGGAAGAGUGGGUACUGCUGUAGACAAUAGAAAUGCCAAAGUGAAAUUCACCAACCAGAAAG